UGGGGAAUUUUGGACAAUGGGCGAAAGCCUGAUCCAGCCAUGCCGCGUGAGUGACGAAGGCCUUAGGGUUGUAAAACUCUUUCGUCGGGGACGAUAAUGACGGUACCCGAAGAAGAAGCUCCGGCUAACUUCGUGCCAGCAGCCGCGGUAAUACGAAGGGAGCUAGCGUUGUUCGGAAUCACUGGGCGUAAAGCGCGUGUAGGCGGCUUGUUAAGUUGGUUGUGAAAACCCAUGGCUCAACCAUGGAAGUGCGUCCAAAACUGGCAAGCUAGAGUUCUGACGAGGAUGGCGGAAUUCCCAGUGUAGAGGUGAAAUUCGUAGAUAUUGGGAGGAACACCGGUGGCGAAGGCGGCCAUCUGGGAAGAUACUGACGCUGAGGUACGAAAGCGUGGGGAGCAAACAGGAUUAGAUACCCGUGUAGUCCCUGAGCGGGCUGGCAAGGCGCAU
rnacentral:rRNA from 1 species